GAUGAACGCUGGCGGCGUGCCUAACACAUGCAAGUCGAACGAAGCACCUUGCCUGAUUCUUCGGAUGAAGGUCUGGUGACUGAGUGGCGGACGGGUGAGUAACGCGUGGGUAACCUGCCCUGUACAGGGGGAUAACAGUUGGAAACGGCUGCUAAUACCGCAUAAGCGCACGAGAGGACAUCCUCUUGUGUGAAAAACUCCGGUGGUACAGGAUGGGCCCGCGUCUGAUUAGCUGGUUGGCAGGGUAACGGCCUACCAAGGCGACGAACAGUCGCCGGUCUGAGAGGAUGAACGGCCACAUUGGAACUGAGACACGGUCCAAACUCCUACGGGAGGCAGCAGUGGGGAAUAUUGCACAAUGGGGGAAACCCUGAUGCAGCAACGCCGCGUGAGUGAAGAAGUAUUUCGGUAUGUAAAGCUCUAUCAGCAGGGAAGAUAAUGACGGUACCUGACUAAGAAGCUCCGGCUAAAUACGUGCCAGCCGCCGCGGUAA
rnacentral:rRNA from 1 species